GGGGGUGUUCCGGAUUCGACGGGGUGUAGGACGUCGUACGGUGCAUGCCGAGGUCUAGUCACCUCGUUAAACAGCUAGACAAAAAUAAACGCCAACAACGAGCGUUUCGCUCUCGCCGCUUAAUGCCGCGAGCGAUGCACCAAGUGGUCUCUGGCUUGGGCCGGGUUAAACCGGCAGCAUCGUCAUUUCACAGAGUCUAGGUUGAGCCGGUGUCGCGACGGCACAUCCGAAACUUAGCGACUGGCCGGCAGUAGGCCCGUUCAUUGGCAGUGCUGUCGGUAAGAUCUCAAAAUUAGUGAACUAAACAUGUAGAUCCGACGAAAAAAUCACUUCGGACGCGGGUUCAAUUCCCGCCACCUCCACCA
rnacentral:tmRNA from 2 species